CCUACGGGAGGCAGCAGUAGGGAAUCUUCCACAAUGGACGAAAGUCUGAUGGAGCAACGCCGCGUGAGUGAAGAAGGGUUUCGGCUCGUAAAGCUCUGUUGGUAGUGAGGAAAGAUGGAGGUAGUAACUGGCCUUUAUUUGACGGUAAUUACUUAGAAAGUAACGGCUAACUACGUGCCAGCAGCCGCGGUAAUACGGAGGUUGCAAGCGUUGUCCGGAUUUAUUGGGCGUAAAGCGAGUGCAGGCGGUUCAAUAAGUCUGAUGUGAAAGCCUUCGGCUCAACCGGAGAAUUGCAUCUGAUACUGUCGAACUUGAGUGUAGAAGAGGAGGGUGGAACUCCAGGUGUAGCGGUGGAAUGCGUAGAGAUAUGGAAGAACACCAGUGGCGAAGGCGGCUCUCUGGUCUGCAACUGACGCUGAGGUGCGAAAGCAUGGGGAGCGAACAGGAUUAGAUACCCGGGUAGUC
rnacentral:rRNA from 1 species